AGGGUUUGAUUCUGGCUCAGGAUGAACGCUGGCGGCGUGCUUAACACAUGCAAGUCGAACGAACCUUCGGGUUAGUGGCGGACGGGUGAGUAACGCGUGAGAAUCUGCCCUCAGGAGGGGGAUAACGGUUGGAAACGACCGCUAAUACCCCAUAUGCCUAUUGGUGAAAUGAAUUUCGCCUGAGGAUGAGCUCGCGUCUGAUUAGCUAGUUGGUGAGGUAAUGGCCCACCAAGGCUUCGAUCAGUAGCUGGUCUGAGAGGAUGAUCAGCCACACUGGGACUGAGACACGGCCCAGACUCCUACGGGAGGCAGCAGUGGGGAAUUUUCCGCAAUGGGCGAAAGCCUGACGGAGCAACGCCGCGUGAGGGACGAAGGCCUUUGGGCUGUAAACCUCUUUUCUCAAGGAAGAAGAUAUGACGGUACUUGAGGAAUAAGCCACGGCUAAUUCCGUGCCAGCAGCCGCGGUAAUAC
rnacentral:rRNA from 1 species